AUCCUGCAGGGGGAAGAGGGGGACCAUCCCAGCUCUGGUCUUGCAGUCUGUGAGUUGAAGUUUGAAGAUUUAUCUGGACUUUACAAAACGUAUGUUGGUGAGCAGCCGCCCCUUAACACAUCCUGCUGAGAAAACUGGGUUUCCACGUGUGCAUGAAACUAGAUCCCUGUCUCUCCUCUGGUACAAAGGUCAGCUAAAAAUGGAUCAAGGACUCUUAACAUACAACCUGAAGCUUUGAAACUAUCAGAGAGAAAAACAGGGGAAACAACUGAAGACAUCAUCAGAAGCAAGGUCUUUCUGAACAGAGCCCCCAUAGCCGGGGAAUACUCAGAUCGCAUGAAAUUAUAGUCUUCACGGUUCAGGGAGAACUUGACCAGCAUUCACCUAACGGGGUCCAAUAUCCAAACUCUACAGGGAACAAAAAAGUUGGCAAAGUCAAGUAAUCCAAUAAAAAAAAAUGGGUCCUGAAGUCCUUAUGCCUGUAUUCAAUACAUAACUGAAAGAUUUGAUGAUGAAAGAUAUUUCCAUAAAAACAGAGCCUCAGGAAUCAGUGCGAUUUGAAGAUGUGGCUGUGUACUUCACAGAGCAGGAACUGGCCAGCUUCACACUUGAUCAGAAGGCCCUGUACAAGGAGGUGGUGCUUGAGAACGUUGCACAUGUGGCUUUUCUGGGGUACAUUGCAAAACUGAGGAAGUAUGCUCAACUGGCUGGAACAGAAACAUCCAGGGUGAAGGCAUUCCUCUAAGUCAGGUGUACCAGGAAGGCAGAGCUGUGUCAUUGCUGUCAAGUGCAGACUUUUCUGUAGUCACGCAUAUUUCUGUAGACAUAGUGCUUUUUAGUUCAUUAAAGUUGUUCAUUAUCAUGGGCAAAGC
rnacentral:lncRNA from 1 species